GCGGGUGUAGCUCAGCGGUAGAGCGCUACCUUGCCAAGGUAGAUGUCGAGGGUUCGAUCCCCUUCACCCGCU
rnacentral:tRNA from 2 species